rnacentral:lncRNA from 10 species
UAUAUACAGAAAGAGAAUUUAAAUUUUUUUAAAGAACUCAUAUAGUAUCAGUGAUAUCUUUGGUAGGAUAAAAGGUAACUUUUAUUUUCUUUUUUAUCUUUGUACAUUUUCCAACUAUUCUUUGAUAAACAUGUAUUACAUUUGUAAUCAGUCAAAAAUAAAUACUAUCCAAAAAAAAGUAAGGUCAGAAGAAACUGGAAAACAUGAGCUUAAAAUCAGCCAACAUUUUAUGCUUACCAUAGCAUUUGCUGCACCAUAUUGACACCUACCAAUCAGAAAUAGACUAUAUACUUUCUGCAUCCCAGGUAUAAUAGGAUGGUGACUCUGGAUUGUAUUGAGUCUGUUCUCUAAACUCUUAAGGAUGUAGCCAGUUUUCAGAAUGUAGCAUAGAACUGCACUUCUGACCUAAAACCCAUAAAAACAGUGAAUUAAGCACUUAAUUUACCACUUACAAGUCUAGCCCCCUCUUAACAUCCCUUUCCAGGCCUCUCUCUUAGGAAGGAGCCUCACAUUUUCUUGUAGAAACUGGAAUGACACUCUGGCCCCAGCUCCCACUCCCCUCCAUGACGGGCAUGACUUAUCUGAUCAGAGAGUUAGGAGAGGCUCUUUUGGAGCCAGCCUGUCCAGAGGACAAGCAUUCCACUCUGCUCUCUGCCUUGGGGGAUUGUGCCCAACUCCCGCAUCAUGGGGGAUGCCUGCGGUUGACCAGCUGUGCCAGUGACUGCAGGAUGACUUGAAAGCUGGACUUCGCUAGGACUAUCAUCCGGAGCACUUACACGAGGGCUUUUUGUGGACUGGGUCUUUUCACAGCAUGACAACUGGAUUCCAAGAAGGAUGAUUCAGAAAGUACAACAAGAGGGAGAAUUGUAAGAGAAACAGGUGGAAGGUAUUGCUUUGAUUUUCUGCCCUUGACAGUUCAUCAUUAGUUGAAGCAGUUACAAGCCCACCCAGAUUCAAGGGGAAGGGACAAGGCUUCCCUUUCCAGCGGGAGAAGGAGCAGAGUACUUGGGGCCAUGUUUUAAAUGUGCCGCACUUGCUAUCUAAAUUCUGCACAGCAAAAGUAAUAUUAACGCUUAUUCAAGUUUUCAGAAUAAAUGAUUGUCAACGAUGCUAUCUUUCCCUAAAUUAGUCUAGUCCAAGAAAACCUCACCUUCAGUAGUCCAGUCCUCUGGUUUAUCUGGGCCAUCAUUUACAUUCAUCAUUUUGUAUCAUCACUGAGGACUACAAAUAGCAUUUUAUUGGCAACCAUGAAAAUUAGGCCUGGCUUGUCAGAGCAUAACAUUCAAACGCUCCCUCAAAAUUAUUAAUAGGAUGGAAUCAAUUACAGAGUUGCCCUCUGACCUUAAUUCAGAUGAUCCUAGGACACCACCAAAGAGAAUUUUUUUUCCUGAAGCAAAAUGAAAAUCUCAGAAAAUUUUAACUGAUAAUGUGUUUGUAUUAGAAUUCCUAGUCUGAAAGAGGUUGCUCCAAAGAAAGUUGAGAUUAAUAAAAGUAUGCAUAGAAUAAGAGACAUAAGUAAAAACAGGCCUCUUUCUGAAGGGAUUAGGUUUGAUGCUUUUCAAGUUUUACAGCAAGAAUGACAAGCCUGGUAUGAAUUAGAAGGACUCAGGCUUAAUAUUUACUGUGGGAUAACGGGAGUGGUGUUAGGAUGUAAACAUGUCCGAAAAGUUAGCACAAGAGCUUGGGGAAAACUCUGCCUUCAAAAACAUGCCAAAGUUGCUUCUAAAAGUUAAGCUCAAGUCAAUGGCUGGAGCUGUUACAACCUGGAAGGACAGUGUUGAGAAGCCCUGCUCAUUUGGUUUGGUUUGAACAAAAAUUGAGCCUUUCAUUUAGAAAGAAAAAGAGAAUCACCAAAAGUGACAGUCCUUGUGAAAGGAAAAGAGUAGAUUCCAGGCUCCUGAAUGAUGUGAGAAGUAGCCACACAGCUGCCUCUUUUAGCAAAGAAUUCAUGACACCUUCCAAUGGUUUAUUUAUACAUAAAGUGUGCGUGAAGAACAGAAAGGUAGCUCCAUGCAGUGGUUGGAAAUGAGGCCCUGGAACAAAUCCUGGAUUUGAAUUCUAACUGCUGUUUACUAACUGUAUGACCUUGGGUAAAAUUAUUUUGUCAUGUCUCCUCUAAGAUUUAGUAUCCUCAUCUGUAAACGUAUAUAAAAACUUAACAUAGUGUAUAAUUCAUUAAAAAUAGACUCUAAAUUCUCAUUUUUAUCAUUAUGUUUAUUUUCUUACAGUUUCUAUUAGUUUCAUUUCAUAAUCCAUGCAUAAGAUAUAAAAUAACAAAAAUCACCCAUAAUCCUGCCAUCUAGAAAACCAUUUUUGUUGAUAUUUUAGUAUAUUUCAUUUAGUCUUUCUACAAUGCAUUUUCUCUAUCUGAGAUCUCACGAAGGAUAUACCUUUGCAUGCUAUAUAUUUCCCUUCUGAUCAUAGGAUCA